CCUACGGGUGGCAGCAGUGGGGGAUAUUGCACAAUGGGGGAAACCCUGAUGCAGCGACGCCGCGUGUGGGAAGACGGUCCUCUGGAUUGUAAACCACUGUCCCCAGGGACGAAGAUGACGGUACCUGGGGAGGAAGCUCCGGCUAACUACGUGCCAGCAGCCGCGGUAAUACGUAGGGAGCGAGCGUUAUCCGGAUUUAUUGGGUUUAAAGGGUGCGUAGGCUGUGAGGUAAGUCAGCGGUGAAAUGCCCCCGCUCAACGGGGUGAAGUGCCAUUGAUACUGCCUUGCUGGAAUGCGGAUGCCGUGGGAGGAAUGUGUGGUGUAGCGGUGAAAUGCAUAGAUAUCACACAGAACACCGAUUGCGAAGGCAUCUCACGAAUCCGCGAUUGACGCUGAUGCACGAAAGCGUGGGUAUCAAACAGGAUUAGAUACCCCGGUAGUC
rnacentral:rRNA from 1 species